rnacentral:rRNA from 1 species
AACGAACGCUGGCGGCAGGCUUAACACAUGCAAGUCGAGCGCCUCGCAAGAGGAGCGGCAGACGGGUGAGUAACACGUGGGAAUCUACCCAUCCCUGCGGAACAACUCCGGGAAACUGGAGCUAAUACCGCAUACGCCCUACGGGGAAAGAUUUAUCGGGAUGGAUGAGCCCGCGUUGGAUUAGCUAGUUGGUGGGGUAA